rnacentral:rRNA from 1 species
UUGUACACACCGCCCGUCGUUACUACCGAUUGAAUGGCUUAGUGAGGCCUCCGGAUGCGAAUUCACUUGUGGGCAACCGCAACGAAGUCGCAGAAGCUGGACAAACUUGGUCAUUUAGAGGAAGUACAAGUCGUAACAAGGUUUCCGUAGGUGAACCUG